UUUAGCAUUUUCCACUUUGCUGUAAUAGAGUUUAUGGUUUAUUGGACCAGAGAGCAUUGUGUGCUGUGUCUGGGUCCUAAGAUAAUAGGAGUGGUUUGCCAGGAAAUGUGAGUAUAACCUUCUGUGUGUUAAAGCCAGAGGGAGUCAGCUCUGGCAGAGCUUUGUAUAGCUAAAACCAUGGUGGUGGUAGAGAUGGUCACAUCAGGCUUGAUGCUUGAAUUAUGCUGCAGAAGAAUGGUGCAAACUGGGGUUUGGCUUGGAUGAGGAUCUGGGAUCUCUGCCCCCUGACUCCUCAAAUCCCCUCAGAGGCAGGUAGUGAGUUAGAAAUCUUUCCUCUUCUUUAUGAAAUAUCUACAGUUGCAUUGGAGCUGGUGAGACUGCUCACAGGAGAGAGAUUAAGCAUUCAUGCAAGCAUUUACAAGGUUGCACUUGACUGAAGUCCCAUUAAAUUUGCUGCUGGCAGUCCCAGGGUUUUUCCAAGGCUGAUGAGUGAAGAACAGGAUCCGACUGAUGAUGAAGUGCUGCCACAAAGGAAGAAGGAUGAGACUAAUUCAAUUUCUCUUCUGG